UAUCGGAUUACUGGGCGUAAGCGCACGCAGGCGGUCUGUCAAGUCGGAUGUGAAAUCCCCGGGCUCAACCUGGGAACUGCAUUCGAAACUGGCAGGCUAGAGUCUUGUAGAGGGGGGUAGAAUUCCAGGUGUAGCGGUGAAAUGCGUAGAGAUCUGGAGGAAUACCGGUGGCGAAGGCGGCCCCCUGGACAAAGACUGACGCUCAGGUGCGAAAGCGUGGGGAGCAAACAGGAUUAGAUACCCUGGUAGUCCACGCCGUAAACGAUGUCGACUUGGAGGUUGUGCCCUUGAGGCGUGGCUUCCGGAGCUAACGCGUUAAGUCGACCGCCUGGGGAGUACGGCCGCAAGGUUAAAACUCAAAUGAAUUGACGGGGGCCCGCACAAGCGGUGGAGCAUGUGGUUUAAUUCGAUGCAACGCGAAGAACCUUACCUACUCUUGACAUCCAGAGAACUUUCCAGAGAUGCAUUGGUGCCUUCGGGAACUCUGAGACAGGUGCUGCAUGGCUGUCGUCAGCUCGUGUUGUGAAAUGUUGGGUUAAGUCCCGCAACGAGCGCAACCCUUAUCCUUUGUUGCCAGCGGUUCGGCCGGGAACUCAAAGGAGACUGCCAGUGAUAAACUGGAGGAAGGGUGGGGGAUGACGUCAAGUCAUCAUGGCCCUUACGAGUAGGGCUACACACGUGCUACAAUGGCGCAUACAAAGAGAAGCGACCUCGCGAGAGCNAGCGGACCUCAUAAAGUGCGUCGUAGUCCGGAUUGGAGUCUGCAACUCGACUCCAUGAAGUCGGAAUCGCUAGUAAUCGUGGAUCAGAAUGCCACGGUGAAUACGUUCCCGGGCCUUGUACACACCGCCCGUCACACCAUGGGGAGUGGGUUGCAAAAGAAGUANGUAGCUUAACCUUCGGGAGGGCGCUUACCACUUUGUGAUUCAUGACUGGGGUGA
rnacentral:rRNA from 1 species